UCGAAAUCUUGAAAUUCCACCAUCCGGAGCUAUUGUAAGUCUGACGUGGCUCACUGGGCCAAACCAAUCCAAAUCUUUCAGCUCAUAAACGUGUGGUUUAUUUGCAGAUAACUAUAAACAAAGUGUUCCUUCAACCUUGGCAUUGUCUGGAAAAUUACCCUUGAAAUGUGUUGUAUCAAUGAUGAUUGUUUCAAUUCUACCAACACUUCCAAGACGAAAUAUAGACCAUUCACAACCAGGCACCUGAAAAAAUCACAAAUUAUAUUCAAAUUGAGAUAAAUAAUUUGUAAUUUUGUUGAAUAAAUUACGGAACAAGAUAAAAGUAUAA